AGGAUAUCUGGUCCGUUGACGUCAACAAAUUAAAUGAACUGUUGCAUCGUGUUUCAUUGAAAGAGAGUAUAGCAAAAUCCUUGGAACAGUGAGCAAAAUGACGUCCGCGUUUCCUGUUUACAAACGGCUAUCUGAAACGGACGAUAUCCCGAGUCCAGCGAAUCCAUUAACAAGCAUUCAAACGUAAUAUUGAUAUUCCCGACGGGUGGAGCGGUUUCGUGACGUUUGUUAUUUUUGUUUCCUUGGCUUCGAUCCAGGAAGCACGAGGUGCGUCAACGUUUACGAUUUUACCGGUUGGAGUUCGCGAUAGAUAAGAGACACCGGCUACGUGUUCCGCUAUCACUUGGAAUGUCGGUCACGUCGGAUUAAAUGGAAGGCUGUGUAUCAUCAUCGAUCGAUGCCUCGUGGCCCUGAGCUAAUCGAAUCCACGAACCGAUGCGACGCGACAAUAAGAAUCGAAGCUGAAGGGAGCAUCGAUCUCGAGCAGGAAGAGCCUCGAGAACGUCGAACACCGCGCCAGAGUCCUCUACGCUAGCUCUCUCGAUGAAUACUGAUCGAAAGUAGCGCGAAUUUCAUUGAGAAACUGGCAGAGAGAAUCGUCCAAAAGCGUAGAACAAAGCUCGUCGAAAUCGUUGCAACCGCCAUCGGAAUGACAUCGUUUCGAAAGCGACUUCAGCAUCCUUCCGUUCAAGCUGCAUAAGAAGCUGCCACAAUCAGCUGAUUGUUCCCGAAACGGAUCGCCUUCCUAAUCUGUCGAAGCAAGUCUCUCGUCGGAGACUCAUCACCGACAACAAUGCUCUCGGCCGGCUCAACUUCUAUGAAAAUGAAUCCGCAGAAAAUCCUCGCAGCAUUCACAAACGACCUUCGAGCCGGGCCAAGGGGAGGAAAACAAAGAAAUCGAGGAAAGAAGCAAAUGAAAAAAUCGAGACAAAGCGAGUGGACCAUCGCCCACACGCGACUUGUCACCGGUCGUGGCGGAAUUCCAACGUGUCCAUGUGUAAACAGCCCAAACGACGAGGGAUCGACCUGUCGAUUGUGCCCCGAGAUCUCUGCGAUUCGGAACAGAUAGAUGAUCGCAAUUAGCGAGGACCAGUUGUUCGACGGUGUUUCGAUGAUAUUGAUUUUCUCUCGCGUCCGCCAUUCAGCUGUCCGAUAAGACGCUGAUGGCCGUAGCAAGUGAUAGAGUUUUGUAUUCGAAAAUGAAAGAAUACAGGCAAUAAUGUAUGGUAAAAAAUUCCAAUGGUAGUUGGUGAGAUAGAAUCGAAUAUUAAUACGUGCUAUGAGAUGAGAUUUUUGAAAUUUUUAUACUUUCAUGUAACGACAAAAAUCGAAGUGGCAAUUCCAGGCGAGACAGCCUGUAUUAACAGCGAUUCACACCUUUAUUGUUACACUUGUUCGUCUAAAUUCUAACGAAUCUUUUAAAUCUCACGUCGAAAUCAAUGUAAAUUCGUCAGGAAGGAAUGUUGAGACGAUGGGAAACAAAAAUGUCUUUGAAAACAUUUAAAUGGUUAUACUGUUAUGAAAAAA